GGCAGCGUGGCUCAGAGGAAAGAGCACGGACUUGGGAGUCAGAGCUCAUGGGUUUGAAUCCCGACUCUGCCA
rfam:Ornithorhynchus anatinus chromosome 4, whole genome shotgun sequence.